GCCUGGGUGGCUCAGUGGUUGAGUGCCUGCCUUCGACCCAGGGCGUGAUGCUGGGGUCCUGGGAUCAAGUCCCACAUCGGGCU
rnacentral:tRNA from 1 species